rnacentral:rRNA from 1 species
UACGUAGGGGGCGAGCGUUGUCCGGAUUCAUUGGGCGUAAAGAGUGUGUAGGCGGUGCUCUAAGUUUGGUGUGAAAUCUCCCGGCUCAACUGGGAGGGUGCGCCGAAAACUGGAAUGCUUGAACAUGGGAGAGGAAAGCGGAAUUCCUGGUGUAGCGGUGAAAUGCGUGGAUAUCAGGAGGAACACCUGCGGUGUAGACGGCUUUCUGGACCAUUGUUGACGCUGAGACACGAAAGCGUGGGUAGCAAACAGG